GGGGGUAUAGUUCAAUGGCAAGAAUUUCGGUCUCCAAAACCGACGAUUCAGGUUCGAGUCCUGAUACCCCCGCCA
rnacentral:tRNA from 1 species